rnacentral:rRNA from 1 species
AUUGAACGCUGGCGGCAGGCCUAACACAUGCAAGUCGAACGCGUGGCGGACGGGUGAGUAAUGUCUGGGAACCUGCCCGAUGGAGGGGGAUAACUACUGGAAACGGUAGCUAAUACCGCAUACCAUCGGAUGUGCCCAGAUGGGAUUCGCUAGUAGGUGGGGUAAUGGCUCACCUAGGCAACGAUCCCUAGCUGGUCUGGGAGGAUGACCAGCCACACUAGAACUGAGACACGGUCCAGACUCCUACGGUAGGCAGCAGUGGAGAAUAUUGCACAAGUGGCGCAAGCCUGAUGCAGCCAUGCCGCGUGGAUGAAAAAGGCCUUCGGGUUGUAAAGUACUUUCAGCGAGGAGGCGUUACUCGCAGAAGAAGCACCGGCUAACUCCGUGCCAGCAGCCGCGGUAAUAC